UACGUAGGGGGCAAGCGUUGUCCGGAAUCAUUGGGCGUAAAGAGCGCGUAGGCGGCCCAGUAAGUCCGCUCUGAAAGUCAGGGGCUCAACCCCUGGAUGCGGGUGGAUACUGCUGGGCUAGGGUCCGGAAGAGGUGAGUGGAAUUCCUGGUGUAGCGGUGGAAUGCGCAGAUAUCAGGAGGAACACCAAUAGCGAAGGCAGCUCGCUGGGACGGUAUUGACGCUGAGGCGCGAAAGCGUGGGGAGCAAACAGG
rnacentral:rRNA from 1 species